UACGGAGGGUGCAAGCGUUGCUCGGAAUCACUGGGCGUAAAGCGUACGCAGGCUGUUCGUUAAGUCGGGUGUGAAAGCCCGGGGCUCAACCCCGGAACUGCGCCCGAAACUGGCGAGCUUGAGUGCGGGAGAGGGAAGCGGAAUUCCUGGUGUAGAGGUGAAAUUCGUAGAUAUCAGGAGGAACACCGGUGGCGAAAGCGGCUUCCUGGCCCGACACUGACGCUCAUGUACGAAAGCGUGGGGAGCAAACAGG
rnacentral:rRNA from 1 species